AAAAAAUUGAACUCCAUUAUCUCAGGAUCCUCCAUUUGUGUCAUUCCCAACGGUCACAUGAUGCGACUCGCCGAAAAUGGCGAUAGUAGAAGCUGCCUUUGCAGCCACGCGAUAUCUGGUUACGUCACCGUUACGUGCUUCUUCAUCGCCGGCGCAUUUCCAGAACAACGUUAGGUCGAUUAAGUCGAUUACUCUGUUAUCGAAACGGAGUUUAUCAAGUUGUUCUUCGCAAAGUGAAAAGUGCCACAUUAAUUUGUGACGGGGAAAUACAAUUUGGUGUGGUAAUGUUUACAAGUUGGUGUGUUUUGAUGUUUUAGUUUGAAAAGCUGUGGUUUCCUUAUGUUCCAUUGUUUGAAUGUUUAGAGGAAUUUUGAAUUGCUUGCUGAAUUGUUGCUUUGAACAUGAGGGCUUAUUAUCAUCAGAUUUCCUAUUUUAUAUGACUUUAUUUGACUGAUUAUGUUGUUUAAGAUAUUAAUUUGACUUCCUUUCUUAGAGUGGUAUAGUGGACGAAAAACUCGAAGUUAAAGUGUGAAAGUUAAUUUGAUAGCGUUCUACUAUUGAAUAGCGUAAUGAACUUGAAUUAUUGAAGUUGUGAAUUAUCAAGUCAUCUUGGCACAAAUAGAUAUGGUUGGACAUGUUAUUUGAAUUGUUUCACAGACAGACUUGAGUAUUGAGAUGGAGCGGGCUGAAGUAAGAUUACUUAUCUGAUUUAUUAUUAAGUUCUAGGAUGUAGUAUGAUGUGUAGUGCAAAAGAUGUAUUUCAUUAUAGAAUCGCUUGAGAUAUUGCGUGAGGCUGCAAGAUUUUGGAUCUAGAUCAGACUAAGGCGUAUUAAACUUCUAGCUGGUUCAUUGUGCAUCUACUGCAGUGAGAAGGGGCUUUUGUAACAUGUCCAGAAUAUGUUGUUGAAUCCAUUGACCAUGUAGAAGAAAUAAAAAUGAUGUUCUCUCUAACAACUUAAGUUUUUAGAUGGGAUGGUCACAUAAUUCACCUAGUAUUAGAGUAGGAAGAGGUCUGGAUUUGAGUCUAUCCAUCACCCAUUAUCAAAAGGAAUUUUCAGGUUCUUCCCACAAAAAAGAAAAUCAGGCCUACACGUGAGAGGGCAUGUUGAACACAUAAUUAGGUAAAUAAAAGUGGUGUUUUUCUAAUAACCUAAAAACUUUUUUAGAUGAGAUGGUCACACAAUUCAACAUACCAUAUGUCUCAAUUUCAGUAUUUCUCUGUAACAACUCUGAUUUUGUUGUUCUUUUGGUCUCAGGAAGCAGAUCAGUGUUGUUGAGCAUUGACCAGUAUGAGUUGUUGGACUUCCUCGAAAUCUUGAACUCGUAGUUUUAAUUUAUCUUAUUUGGUUUCUCUUCAAUACCCUCUCAUUGUGGAUAAACUUUCUUUCUAGGUUACCCUAUAUAGAUACAGUAAUAGGGAUAGAACUAUUCUAUAUAUUUUAUUUGAGAGUUUGGCUAGUUAAUGGAAGUACUUACUUGCUUGAGCCUUUCUAAUGUAAAUGUUCCUUUUUAUCAUAUUCUUGUGUUCUGCAUUUUUUUUGUUUAUAUUUGCAAGUCAUUGUGGGAGGAGAAAGUUCCCCUAAAACAUGAUUUUACUGAUUGAUUAUCCUCAUAAUUGCAAGUUCCCUUCAGGCAGUGUUCAGGAAAGCGAGCUUCACAGACUAGAAUGAGUAUGUGAGCACUUCAUCGCUUAAAGCGAGCGUUUCAUCGCUUAAAGUGUGAAGUGGGGCCUUGUCGCUUUUUUCCGCUUCACGCUUCCCUGAACACCGCCUUCAGGAAUGGUGUGAAAAAAAGAUGGAGUAUACUCUUCUUUGUGGCAAACAAGAAAAGACCAAAGCUAUGAAAGCUGGUAGAAGAAGUCGUCAUGAAGCACUCGAAGAAGAGGUGAUCAAAAAGGUAAAAGUUCGCGUUGACUCAGCUGAAGAUGUAUGGGCAUUCAUGCUCUUAAAUUUUAUAGUUGGAGCCAAUCAAUUGUUAUUUGACGGAUUGACACGUGAAUUGCCCCUUAGUAGGUUUUGCUGAAGGUGUAUGGAUGGUGGGAGUUAUUGAUGAGAUACGAAUGCCGGAAGGACAAAGUGAUGCAUAUCCAAUGUUAGUUGACACAAAAACACGAGUGCAAGCUAGCCUUCCUCUUGAACCACAACGGAGGAAUGGAAGGCCUACAAGCAUUUGUGGGACAGCUUGGUAGCUGAUAACUUUCCCUCCGGCCAGUUCUUUGAAUUCUUCUCUCUGAAUCCUAAUCACAUUUUAUCUGCACAAGUCAGAGAAAGUACUGCUGUAAGUAUAGAAGGGCACUCCCGUUAACUUCAUCACCCCAUAACUUAGAAGUAUAUCAGUAUGAUGAACAUCAAACUUACAAGAAUA